rnacentral:rRNA from 1 species
GCGAUACAGGGUGACAGCCCCGUACACAAAAAUGCACAUGCUGUGAGCUCGAUGAGUAGGGCGGGACACGUGGUAUCCUGUCUGAAUAUGGGGGGACCAUCCUCCAAGGCUAAAUACUCCUGACUGACCGAUAGUGAACCAGUACCGUGAGGGAAAGGCGAAAAGAACCCCGGCGAGGGGAGUGAAAAAGAACCUGAAACCGUGUACGUACAAGCAGUGGGAGCACGCUUAGGCGUGUGACUGCGUACCUUUUGUAUAAUGGGUCAGCGACUUAUAUUCUGUAGCAAGGUUAACCGAAUAGGGGAGCCGAAGGGAAACCGAGUCUUAACUGGGCGUUAAGUUGCAGGGUAUAGACCCGAAACCCGGUGAUCUAGCCAUGGGCAGGUUGAAGGUUGGGUAACACUAACUGGAGGACCGAACCGACUAAUGUUGAAAAAUUAGCGGAUGACUUGUGGCUGGGGGUGAAAGGCCAAUCAAACCGGGAGAUAGCUGGUUCUCCCCGAAAGCUAUUUAGGUAGCGCCUCGUGAAUUCAUCUCCGGGGGUAGAGCACUGUUUCGGCAAGGGGGUCAUCCCGACUUACCAACCCGAUGCAAACU